rnacentral:misc_RNA from 1 species
UUUUUUUUUUUUUUUUGCCAAAAGGUAAACGCUCAUUUAUAAGUGGGUUUAGAUAUAGUCCGUGGCUUAAGGAGACAAACCAAUACAAGCAAACCUAAAUCACAACAAUGAAAAGUAAAACAACUAGGGGCCCAAAAUUAAAAGGGCCCAAGCCCACAGACUCAAACCCUAAGCUAGCAGAACGAGAGGUAGCAGAGCGCCAGAGCCAGCGGCGUCGGCCCCGUAACCGAUCCCUUCUGGGAGAUGAAGACUUCAGGCUUUUGGAAGUGCAGUGAUCCACAAAUCUCCAAAAGCCAUAGCUCACCCAUUAGGAUCAAUCUUUCAAACACAGUAAAGAGCCUCAAGAACCGGAUAUUUUUUUUUUUUUUUCAGAAGCCUCAAGAACGUUGGUGAGAUGGUAUCCAUAUUCUGAGAUGAGGACUAUGCUUAAGAAAUGUACUCUGCCUCUUGAGCUAAGGAGUUAAAUGUGCAUAGUUAUUACACCAAGUCGCCAAACAAGAAACGGCGAAGGGAUCACAAACAAUGCGGUAAUAAUAGAGAAUGAAAGGAGAAAGGGUGGUGGCUCAACUCUAGUAAAUCGAAGAUGGAAGGAGAGUCAACAAGACACAAAGCAAGGAAGCUGCUGGGUUUUGAGGGAUAGGGAAAGCACAAAUGUAAAGGGUUGUGCAUGGUUUUCAGGCCCUGAAUUGAUAAGGUAAAGGGUUG